GCGGUCCGGGGACGCGCGGGGGAUGGCGGGACGUCGGCGAUCGGAGAUGCCAGGGGGCAGCUGGGACGUGGGCGGUCUGGAGAGGCGCGGGGGCAGCUGAGAUGCAGGCCAUGCAGCCCCGAAGCUCCGAAUCCUGGGAUGACUCCUGUCCAUGUUGGAAGGGACCCUGCCAGUCCUGGCAAGGUUCAAAGGCCUUAGGGCAAGAAAUGUUAGUAGAGUCCUGGAAGACGAUGUGGGGAACGGGUAGCGGCCACCGGAUGGUGAUCGUUCUUCUACAAGACCUUGACAUGGAUGGGGAGAAACAGAGAAGAACCUUCCAAGUUUGUCCCACUGGACAUGCCCACCACACUUUACCAGCCCUUUCUAGAAGGCCUGUGCGUAACACAUGAAAAAGCUCUGCUCGACCUUUCCCUGACCUUUUAAAAGAAAACAUUUGCUGCAUCUAAUCCGCCUAGAUAUAAGGAGGUUCCCAAAUGUAUGACAGAGUCAGAAAAUUACAUGUCUUGUAAGUUACCAUGUGCUUGUCUUUUGUUUUCCGUUUUUUUUCGUUUUUUUGUUUUUUGUUUUUGAGACGGAGUCUCACUCUGUCGCCCAGGCUGGAGUGCAGUGGCAGGAUCUUGGCUCACUGCAACCUCUGCUUCCUGAGUUUCAACAAUUGUGCUGCCUCAGCCUCCCGAGUAGCUUGGAUUACAAGUGUGCACCACCACGCCUGGCUAAUUUUUGUAGUUUUUAGUAGAGAUGGGGUUUUGCCACGUUGGCCAGGCUGGUCUUGAACUCCUGACCUCAGGUGAGCCACCCACCUUGGCCUCUCAAAGUGCUGGGAUUACAGGUGUGAGCCACCGUGCCUGGCCGUAAGUUACCAUGUGCUUUUUAAAAAAAUCAUAGCAAAGGGGUGUCUUCUGGAAAUGACAUUUUGAAAUGGUGUUAUUAGACCACCCCUGGAAGGGACACAGUAACCACACGUCCACGUUCGUUCAGUGGGUGAGAGGACAUGGAGGGGAGACCUGGGCAGGAAGGGAAGAGGGUUCCAUGCCAGGCUGCUCAUAUUUAGAAGACAUUUUCAUAUCAUUGUCAUUGUUUUCUUGUGUGCGUUUUAUUCCUCGCUAUUGUAUACAUCAUUGGAAAUUCUAAGUAUUCUUUUGAAAUAUCUAGUCUUUCUAGAUGUUCUGAAGUGCCUGAUGUAUGUUAAAAUUACAGGUGGUAAAAUAAUAAAUUUUGUAAAUAUCUUUUUGUUAAAAUUCAUAUGCAGGGUUUUAUUUUAUUUUGAUGUUGGUGGGGGGUGGGGAGGAUGGCCAAAUCCCUGCUUGAUCAACACACAUUGCGUUUGUGCUCUGGUUCAGGGGAGGAGAGAGGAGGAGAAAGUGCAGACUUCCAGGCCUCUGUGCGCACCGGGAGGAGAGAUUAAUGAUCAUCUCUUCUGUCUGUGUGUUUGUUUUAUUUAUCUAUGGAUAUCCUGUGUAUAAAGGAUGAACAAGUCCUAUUUAUAACAUCUAAUCUUUUCAGGUGUUAAGUUGCCAGUGUAUGACGGAAGUAGCGUUAUUAAACGAACGCAGCUUGUACAUAUUGUGUUAAAAUUCAUAAAAAGCCAGUCUUCUGAAAAGAACCCUUGGGCCCUCCCUCCGCAGCCUCCGGCGCCAGCUGCAGGAAGACCUGGCCAGGGGAAGGCGGGCGGCACAAGCUGCUGCUGGCUGUGGGGAAGGCGGUGGAGCCCAGGCCUCCACAGGCUCCCCACAGGCUCCCCACAGGCUCGCGCGGCUCUGGUCGCUGGGCUCCGCACGGGCCGCGUGGGGGCGCCUGCUGGGAGCGAGGAGGCGCCAUCCUGGCUCGCCUGCUCCAGGAGGACGCUCUGGGCCUGCGCAGAUGCAGUUCUCCAGGAUGGGCGCGGGCGCUGGGGGCCGCGCUCCUUGGGCUGCUGCGCCUCCACUGAGCCGCCUGGGUGUGAGGACCUCGCGCCGGCGCCUCCGGGAAGGACGCGGAGCCGCCGCGGCCGAGCCCAGGGCUGCAGCUGCUGCCCGACGCCCGCGAGAAGGCCCUUCCGCCACCGCCCGCGGGUUCGAACUUGGAGCAGCUGCUGCCAGCUGAGGCGCCAGCGGCGUCGGGAGCUCCUCAGAGUCAGUGUUUUGUGCUGGAUUCGGCAUGUCCUCUGAAAACUCGGGAAUUUGUCACUGAAAUGGUGACAGGAGAAUAGAAACUGAAGUGACAUGAAGGUCGGGAGUUGAAUGGAGAAAAGGUGAGAGAAAAGAGGGAGGAAGGCGUUGCAAGAGAAUAAGAGAAAAUGUUGAGGGUAAUUGAUUUGUUUUCUAUCUUAAUAAUGGUGAUGGUUACAUCAAUAAUUUCCAAAUUGUACAUUUUGUGUGUUAAUUAGAAUUUUAUAUUAUUCAAGCUAUUACAAAUAAAUACCUGUAUAAAUUUCUUAGGGACGGUGUAAGGGAGAUGGAUAAAUCACAUAAAAAGUCAGAUAUUUCUGAAUGUACAAUGAAUAACCCUUAGCUCUAUCUCUAUUUUUUGGUAAUUCUAAAAUGCAGCAGUUUUUUUUAAUGUUUUUAUUACAAGAAGGGUUUCUUCAAACCACACCAGGUAUGCGUAACUCUGGGAUAAAGUUGGCUAAGGGAGCUGUGGGAUCCGGUGGAGAGGAGCACAGGUCCCGAUCCUGGAGACCAUUCUUGUCACAUGUGAGCUCCUGGACACAUCUCAUAGCUCCCUCAUGCUUCUGGGUUUACAUUCACAUCUGUAAAUGGAGGACCAAUGGGCAUCUGCCUCUAACAAUGUAUUUUCGUGUGUUAAGAUAAUGUAUGCUAAAUGUUUACCACAGCACAAUCUUUUACUAAGAAAUUACAUUUUUUCCAAAUAUUAUCAUUGUCUUCAAGCCCCACCACCCACUAGAAAACUUCAUCUGCUCUGUGCCUUGCCCUGUCCUCAGACAUCCUGCCCAAGAGACUUCUAUAUAGUAGGAGACAUGCAAAUAGUUCCCUCCCUCUGCUGAUGAAAACCAGCCCAGCCUUGACCCUGCAGCUCUGGGAGAGGAGCUCAAGUGCCAGGAUUCCCAGGUGUUUUCACUUGGUGAUCAGAACUUAACACAGAGGACUCACCAUGUUGUUUGGGCUGAGCUGGGCUUUCCUUGUUACUAUUUUAAGAGGUGAUUCAUGAAGAACUACAGAUAUUGUUUGUGAGUGGAUAUUAGAGAAACAGUGGAUAUGUGUGGCAGUUGCUGACCAGGAUUUCUCUGUGUUUGCAGGUGUGCAGUAUGAGGUGCAGCUGGUAGAGUCUUUUUUUUUUUUUUUUUCACUUUUUAGCGAACAUCCAUGGGUUACAAAAUAAUGGGUUGGCUUUUCUUCCAACACUUUACAGACACCAUCAAUUUUCCUCUUGCUUAUAAGGUUUUAACCAGAAGAAUGCUGUCAUCAUCUUUCCUGUUCUUUUAGAAGGAAUGCCCCCUCAACUCAUCUCCACUUGUCUGCAUGUAUUUCUAUUUGUCUUUGGUUUUCAGCAGUUUUAAUAAGAUUCACCUAAAUGUGUGUGUGUGUGUCGAGGGGUGUUAUGCUAUUGUUCUGUGUUCUCUGAGAUGCAUGGAUUCACCGUUUACUCUGUCUCCAUUUUUGUGAAAACAAUUAGAAAAAAAGUCAGUGUGAGCCUAGAAACAAGCCUCCCUGAAGUGGGCACUGGACCACCUGGGGGCGCUCAGGACCCACUGAGCACAAGAGCCAGCCCCAGGGCAGGUGCAGAGGGGUGUUAAGGUCUGGUUUCCUGUCAGCCCUGUGGCUUCCUCUCCAUAAAACAGUUUCCUUUGUGGCACAUCUCUGGAUUCCUUAUCCUUUUUUUCCUGUGAAGUCUGAAGAAGAAACAUUUGUCGUAACAAGAGAAAAACUUUCUCAUAUGCACCAAAGGCAGAGUCACCUACAGUCAUUUACUCCUGUUUCUGAAUGUCAAUAAGGUGUCAAUGCUUCUGAAGUUAAUCAGCUAAAUCUAUAAAAGGUGCGGUGUUUAACUCAGCAUGGCAGCCCAGCUCAACAGAACUCCAAGGGCCAGUGAGCAAGCAGGCAGGAUAAAGUGCAUGCUGGGCAUUGGGGCAGAGGGAGUUAGCAUCCAGUGCAAGAGAAGAAAGCCCCCGUGGUGGUCAUUGUCAGGACUCCAAGCCCACAGUUCCAAUUGUAGGUGAUACUGGGCAAAGGAAGAGAGACCCCACCAAUGGUUAGUGUGGAUUUCGAGUCUGAUGGUUCCACACUCACACUCCAGGUGAAUAUGAAAACAUUUAUUAACUCUAUUUUUGAGGUGUCUGCUGAGAGCAGCACAGGCCUCUCAAGAAAUUUCAAACUGGAAUUUCCUCAGUAGACAGGAAAGGAGGCUGGCUCAGGGCUUUAUAAUGAUUUGGUGGUGGGGUUGGGGGUGCGUUUCUACUCAGGAGAAGGAGAUUGUGUGAUUUAAACCUCACAGGGGCAUCAGAUAAGGGAGCUUCUGUGAUUUCUUACUAGAUUUACCACAUGCAGGGGAUAAGGAGGAGGAAGAAUAAACCUUAAUUCGUCAGCAACGAGGCACCAAAAAUAGGACCUGACGCUUUAUUCUCCCUAGCAGCUUAAGAAAAUGAGUGAAAAAGAGAGAGAAGAGUCCACUAUGUGUGAAAAGCAAACAGGUCUAAAGAAAAUAAAAAUUUUAUUACUGUAAGCACAUAAUAAAAAGAAAGAGAAGAAUGAAUGAGACAGGCAGGGGUGCUGAAUCAAUGUCCUGAGUGGGGCCUUUUCAUUAUCCACAGUUAUCAGUUAAUUCUGAAGGUCUCAGGUCAGCUUCCUGCUUCAAAAUAUCACAGGCCCUUACAGUAUAUGUGAAAAUCCUCGGUUUGUCGUUCUUCACUAAAGUAGCCUUAUAAUUAGAUGUACUUCUGAAUUUAAUCUUCAGUUGUGUUAAAUAAAAAAAUAACACAAUCUACAAUUUAGGAAAGUGAGAGUUUAUUUUUAUCAAGGGUUACAGCCAUCCCAUAUGCUGGAAAGCAUAGCUUUUGGUAAAGACGAGAGAAAGGCACUCCCAGGAAGAAGGGGUUGGGCAGAAGCUUUAUGCUGAAGGGUUUGGCUAAACAGACAUAAUCAACAGGUUACAGGAGGGGCUACUGAUGUUCAUGGAGGUGGUCCUCACACAUGCAUACUGAAUAAACAUUCCUGUAACGUAUGACCCCUGUUCACUUACCAGUGGAGACUUAGCAUUUAAAUUCAUUACAGUCAGGCUCUAUGUGCCAAUAGCAGAAGCAGAAACACAAAGGCACUCAGGGUGCAGCCUCUGUAAACGGCCAGAGCCAGGCCAUGGUGAGUGGUCUCUGAUCAGGAGAAAGGUCCUGAUAUCACUCUAGUGUUCAAUCAAAGCUGGGGUUAUGGCUUGUGGAACAGGGGUCAGUUCAUCAGGGGAUGGGCUGCAAUUGUCUUCAUAGUGCUUGUCUCAGUGCCGGUGCUUACUGAGCCACUAGAGAAAACGAAUAACCUAUUGGCAGUUAGAAGACAGUUUACCUUUUAAGUGUGGGAGUGAGUGGCAGAACCCUUGCCUGACAUGGCUUUAGGUCUUGUUUAUAAUUUGACAUCUUAUUGCCACAGAGAUUCUGUUCUGUCAUUCUUUUGAUCUCUAUUUUAACAUUAGUGUUGGUCAUUGUCGUGUCUAAACCGCAAAGGGGAGUGAGUGUAAGAGGCACGUCUGAUCUUGUCAUGGCUGGGAUCUCAGUUUUUAGGCUUUUCUGGAGUCCCUUAGAUGAACAGAUGGACUAUUUAGUCAGUUGGGGCACUUAGGAUUUUAUUUUUGGUUUACAGUUCAUAAAUAUGAACCCUAGUAUUGACAUUGUGCAUAUUCACUGCUGUGUUGUGGUUAAAAUUACCUGGUAAGAUUCCCUUCAAAGCAGUUCAAGAGCAAUAUUCUACCGUGAUGUUUCUUCCAGUAAAUACCAUUCCCUGUUUUAAUGUCAUUAGAGGCUAUUGAAAAGAUGUAGGAAAAUGAUAGCUUAAUCUGUCGAUGACUGGAGUGGGUAAGUUACAGUCAUCACUUUCAAUACUUUGUCAUGCGUGCAUGUAAUAGGAAGAGGUGAGCACCGGGGGUAAAUCUCUAAAUGUAUGCGCCUUCCAGCCACCAAAUCAUAAGGUGAUAACUGAUGUCUCACUGAGGGACUUGACUAUAAUGCUCUAGUGCUAGGGAGAGAAACUUUGGCCAAGGAAGUUCAAGAUUUUCUUAAGGUUUUGACAAGUUUAGUUCAAGUAUGACAAUUUUCUUCAACAUUUUCAGAAGAUUGUGUUUGGGAAUGAUGCUGAGUUAUAUAAGUAAUGCUAAUGCCUUCUGUGUUUAGAUAAUAUUAUAAACAAGACUGUUUGGUAUAAUGACCCAGUACAAUAUGUAUACUUUUAGUUGUUACGCGAUUUCAUUUUCCUUUAGGACUUUACUUUCUGAGUUACAUGAGUCAGGUCCCUAAAAUAUAGGCGUGCAUCUGAAAUUUAUUCUUCUGUUGAGAAUUUUUACGUGCUCCAGAAGAUGUGAGAAACUUCUUUGCGUGAAGAGCAUCCCAAAGUCAGGCACUCCUGUAAAACAUGUACUUAAUCCUUGUCUUUGGCUUAUUGAUGGGCUCUGUUGACUACAAUAACUUCUGUCAUGCUGGCUGACUUGACAUCAGGUAGAGGAACAGAUUCUGAAUGCACUACUCAAUUGAGUGCAUAACCUCCAGUUUUGUUACUGAUGUAUGAUUCAUCAGAGAUGUUACUAGAUCAAGGAUUUCAAUCGGAAUCUAAUCUAAAAGAUGUGAAUAAACUUUCCUAAUUUAGAUAGUAUUACUGUGAGCACACUGCUAGUAUUCAGCCAUGUCUCCUGUCUGUCACACUGAAUUCACGCUAACUUUGACCUAAAAGUUAACACUUGUUCUAAUGUUCAAAUAUGUUAUUUUUAUUUUAAUGUCUCUAGAUUAUUAUGUGUGGCUAUUUUAGCCAAGAGUGAAGGAAAGCAAGGUUAACUGACUAAAAAUGAGAAAAAGCACAACCUAAUGUAAUGGAAGUCAGGGCAUCAGCAUCUCCAGGCUUGUCUAUUUCUAGAGUUCAUGCAACCAGGGGAUUUCUUUUCUCAUUUUUACACAAAGAAACACCCAAAUUGUCCGUUUCAUCUCCCAUUGACUCUUAUCAUCUGUCUCUGUCAGUUUGCUUAGAAUUUUGGCCUCCAGCUGAAUCCAAGUUGCUGCAAAAACAUGAUUUCAUUCAUUUUUACAGCUGCAUGGUAUUCCACUGUGUAUAAGUACCACGUUUUCUUUUUUCAGUCUAUAACUGAUCGGCAUUUAGUUUUAUUAUAUGUCUUUGGUACUGUGAAUAGCACAGUGAUACACACGUGAGUUGAUGUGUCUUUUUGUUCCAAUGAUUGGUUUUCUCUUGGACAUAUACCCAGUAAUGAGAUUGCUGAGGGGAAUGGUAGCUCUGUUUUAAAUUCUUUGAGAAAUCUCCAGAUUGAUUUCAACAGUGCUUGGGCCAAAUUAUAUUUUCACCAAAAGUGUGUAAGUGGUCCCUUAUCUCUAUAGCCUUGCCUGCAUCUGUUAAUUUCUGAUCUUUCAGUGAUAGCAGUUCUGACAUAUGUGAGAAAGUAUAUCAUUUGGUUUUGAUUCGCACUUAUCUGAUGACUGAAUAUGCUGAGCAUUUUUAUAGGUUAGUUGGCCACUUCUAUGUUUGUAUUUGAGAAGUUUCUGUGCAUGUCCUUUCUCCAUUUUUAAUGCGGUUAUUUGGUUUAUGCUGGUGAUUAAGUUCCCUAUGAAUUACCACCUUACAUACACUAAGAUAAUCAGCAUUCAAAAAAGAAAAAUGAAUAGAAAAACAUAACCACUUGUAGGUAUAGACAUACUGAAUUUGGAAUGGUCAUGGCUUGCAUGUUGGUAUUGAAAUGGGACAGCAACUUUGGAAAAUGGUCUUCACAGAAAACCUCAUAAAUGUAGCUAGUGUCACCACUCACAGAAGUAGAUGGAGAAUACAACUCAAGUGUCCAUC